UGAGAACUCAACAAAGGAUGAUAUUCAUAUUACAAAGCUGCUUUGACCAAAAAGUUGAAAAUAUUGAUCAUACACCAGGACUGAAGUCAGAACCUAUCGUACUCAGAGAGAGUACCAGACUUGUUCACAGGAUAGUAAUGAAAAACAAACUGUCAUGGACCAGACAACGAUACCUUAGUCAUAUUUUAAACCCAUUAAGACAUUCAGUUUAAGGGAACAACUCACACUCAACAGCAUGUGGAUUAUUGGACAUCUUUUCUACACUGCUCUGUGUUUCAAAACACUUUAAAUCAACAGCUUCAACUCAACACACCAGGCUCGACCUAUACCUGAAGAGGAGUUGUCAACACCAGUCCAGUGUGAGACAGACCCCACUGGUUUGGAUGGAGUCAUUGUGUAUGGUGAUCAAACCUAUCCACUGAACCAUCAGCCCAGAAAUAAUGAAGAGGAGUUGUCAACACCAGU